GCGAACGCUGGCGGCAGGCCUAAUACAUGCAAGUCGAGCGGUCCCUUCGGGGGCAGCGGCGGACGGGUGAGUAACGCGUGGGAACGUGCCCUUUGGUACGGAACAACUGAGGGAAACUUCAGCUAAUACCGUAUGUGCCCUUCGGGGGAAAGAUUUAUCGCCAUUGGAGCGGCCCGCGUUAGAUUAGCUAGUUGGUAGGGUAAUGGACCACCAAGGCUACGAUCUAUAGCUGGUCUGAGAGGAUGAUCAGCCACACUGGGACUGAGACACGGACCAGACUCCUACGGGAGGCAGCAGUGGGGAAUCUUGGACAAUGGGCGCAAGCCUGAUCCAGCCAUGCCGCGUGAGUGAAGAAGGCCUUAGGGUUGUAAAACUCUUUCGCCGGAGAAGAUAAUGACGGUAUCCGGAGAAGAAGCCCCGGCUAACUUCGUGCCAGCCGCCGCUGUAAAAC
rnacentral:rRNA from 1 species